rnacentral:ncRNA from 1 species
ACCGCGGUCAUACGAAAGACCCAAGUUAAUAUUCUACCGGCGUAAAGAGUGCUUAAAUAUUUAUCAAAUAGAGCUAAGACUAGUCUUCGCUGUAAAAAGCCAAAGCCAAAGUAAAAAUCAAUAACGAAAGUAACUCUAAUUUUUGUAGCACUAAAGCUAUUACCUAAACUGGGAUUAGAUACCCCACUAUAAUUAGCCAUAAACAUAAGUAGUUCAUAACAUUACUACUCGCCAGAGAACUACAAGCCACCGCUUAAAACUCAAAGGACUUGGCGGUGCUUUAUAUCCACCUAGAGGAGCCUGUUCCAUAACCGAUGAUCCCCGAUUUACCUCACCACUCCUUGCUAAUUCAGCCUAUAUACCGCCAUCUUCAGUUAACCCUAAAAAGGAAAUAAAGUAAGCCUAAUCAGUAUUACUAAAGAAGUUAGGUCAAGGUGUAGCCCAUGGAGUGGAGCGAAAUGGGCUACAUUUUCUAUUACUAGAACAUUACGAAACUCUACGUGAAAUCCGUAGAAUAAAGGAGGAUUUAGUAGUAAAUUAAAACUAGAGUGUUUAAUUGAAUAGAGCAAUGAAGCACGCACACACCGCCCGUCACCCUCCUCAAUUUCUCAACAAUUAAAAGUACAUAACACCUAAUUACAAAAGAUUGAGAGGAGACAAGUCGUAACAAGGUAAGUGUACUGGAAAGUGCACUUGGAAAAAUC